GACGAACGCUGGCGGCGUGCCUAAUACAUGCAAGUAGAACGCACAGUUUAUACCGUAGCUUGCUACACCAUAGACUGUGAGUUGCGAACGGGUGAGUAACGCGUAGGUAACCUGCCUGGUAGCGGGGGAUAACUAUUGGAAACGAUAGCUAAUACCGCAUAAUAUUGAUUAUUGCAUGAUAAUUAAUUGAAAGGUGCAAUUGCACCACUACCAGAUGGACCUGCGUUGUAUUAGCUAGUAGGUGAGGUAACGGCUCACCUAGGCGACGAUACAUAGCCGACCUGAGAGGGUGAUCGGCCACACUGGGACUGAGACACGGCCCAGACUCCUACGGGAGGCAGCAGUAGGGAAUCUUCGGCAAUGGACGAAAGUCUGACCGAGCAACGCCGCGUGAGUGAAGAAGGGUUUCGGAUCGUAAAGCUCUGUUGUAAGAGAAGAACGGGUGUGAGAGUGGAAAGUUCACACUGUGACGGUAUCCUACCAGAAAGGGACGGCUAACUACGUG
rnacentral:rRNA from 1 species